UGACUGCAGCCCGAUGGCGCUUGCCAUUGUUAGCGAAGGGGCUCCAGGUUGUCCGCGAUCAAGUGUAGUGCGACUUGCGACACCGACGUGAGAGUCUUAUGAGCAAGGCGUGUGCAGCUACGAGCGGAAUCAAUUUCAUGGUCAUGCAAUACACGUACACUAGCCGACAUCUGCUCAACCUUUCACAAACCAAAUGGGUUUGCUCACUGCCGUGCACCACCUACUUCUCGUAAAAACGUUCUCUGCGCCAGUCCAACUUAUUCUUGUUUACCAGCAGAUUGGUUGGUUUGUUGUUUAACGCCACAC